rnacentral:ncRNA from 2 species
CGCCAUUAGUCGGGGUGCCGUUAAAGGCUGAGAUGAUACCCGUGAACCUGAUUCAGUUAAUGCUGCCGUAGGAAACUAAUGAUGCCAAGAU